GGACCUGACUGCUAUCGGAUUGAUACUAAGCCAUGCGAGUCAUUGUAGCAAUACAAGGCAGACGGCUCAGUAACGCGUAGUCAACCUACCCUAUGGACGGGAAUAACCUCGGGAAACUGAGUAUAAUGCCCGAUAGAACAUUAUACCUGGAAUGGUUUAUGUUCCAAAUGAUUUAUCGCCGUAGGAUGGGACUGCGGCCUAUCAGUUUGUUGGUGAGGUAAUGGCCCACCAAGACUAUUACAGGUACGGGCUCUGAGAGGAGUGGCCCGGAGAUGGGUACUGAGACACGGACCCAGGCCCUAUGGGGCGCAGCAGGCGAGAAAACUUUGCAAUGUGCGAAAGCACGACAAGGUUAAUCCGAGUGGUUUCUGCUAAAGGAACCUUUUGUCAGUCCUAGAAACACUGAUGAAUAAGGGGUGGGCAAGUUCUGGUGU
rnacentral:rRNA from 1 species